UACGUAGGGGGCAAGCGUUGUCCGGAUUUAUUGGGCGUAAAGAGCGUGUAGGCGGCCAGACAGGUCCGUUGUGAAAACUCGAGGCUCAACCUCGAGACGCCGAUGGAAACCGUCUGGCUAGAGUCCGGAAGAGGAGAGUGGAAUUCCUGGUGUAGCGGUGAAAUGCGCAGAUAUCAGGAAGAACACCCGUGGCGAAGGCGGCUCUCUGGGACGGUACUGACGCUGAGACGCGAGGGCGUGGGGAGCGAACGGG
rnacentral:rRNA from 1 species